rnacentral:rRNA from 1 species
AUACGUAGGGGGCGAGCGUUGUCCGGAAUGAUUGGGCGUAAAGGGCGCGUAGGCGGCCCGGUAAGUCUGGAGUGAAAGUCCUGUUUUUAAGAUGGGAAUUGCUUUGGAUACUGUCGGGCUUGAGUGCAGGAGAGGUAAGUGGAAUUCCCAGUGUAGCGGUGAAAUGCGUAGAGAUUGGGAGGAACACCAGUGGCGAAGGCGACUUACUGGGCCGUAACUGACGCUGAGGCGCGAAAGCAUGGGUAGCGAACAGGAUUAGAUACCCUGGUAGUCCACACUGUAAACGAUGAUGCUAGGUGUAGGGGGUAUCGACCCCUUCUGUGCCGCAGUCAACACAAUAAGCAUUCCGCCUGGGGAGUACGGCCGCAAGGUUGAAACUCAAAGGAAUUGGCGGGG